UGAACCUGAAGGGACCGGCCUAAGGAGGAAUAGAUACUUUGGACAGCACAGAGGAGAGAUGGAAAGAAACUGGGUCAUUAUGACAUUGUUAAGCUGCUAGAUCUACCACGGCACUGUCCAACAGCUGGACUCUUCAUUAAUGCUAUGACGACUGAAGAAAGCAUUAUGAAGGACUGGCUGUGGGAGAUAUGGAGAGAAGGCAGUCAAGGACUGGAGUCUUUUUUCCACUUAGUUUCUAAGGACCAGAAUUAGGAAACUGCAUGAUGGAAAAAUAAACACAGGUAGUGCUACACCCCUUCUUCUCUACUAGCAGCACUCAGAACAGGAUUGCAAAACCUCAUUAGAUUUGCAAAACAUGGUA